AAGCAAUUAGUCUAAGAAAAACAUUUGAUUUCGGCUCAAAAACUUGCAGUUAAAGUCUGCAACUGCUUA
rnacentral:tRNA from 1 species